AUAGCGUAUAUUAAAGUUGUUGCAGUUAAAAAGCUCGUAGUUGAAUUUCGGGAUCAAUUGGUCGGUCGUGCCUCGGUACGUACUGGUCAAAUUGAUUCCUACCUUCUGACGAACCACGAUGUCAUUAAUUUGGUGUCGCGGGGAAUCAGGACUGUUACUUUGAAAAAAUUAGAGUGUUUAAAGCAGGCUCGCGCUUGAAUACAUUAGCAUGGAAUAAUGAAAUAGGACGUUUGAUUCUAUUUUGUUGGUUUCUAGGAUCGACGUAAUGAUUAAUAGGGAUAGUUGGGGGCAUUAGUAUUCAAUUGUCAGAGGUGAAAUUCUUGGAUUUAUUGAAGACUAACUACUG
rnacentral:rRNA from 1 species